UAAUACGGGAGGCAGCAGUGGGGAAUAUUGCACAAUGGGCGCAAGCCUGAUGCAGCCAUGCCGCGUGUAUGAAGAAGGCCUUCGGGUUGUAAAGUACUUUCAGCAGUGAGGAAGGGGUGUGCGUUAAUAGCGUGCAUCUUUGACGUUAGCUGCAGAAGAAGCACCGGCUAACUCCGUGCCAGCAGCCGCGGUAAUACGGAGGGUGCGAGCGUUAAUCGGAAUUACUGGGCGUAAAGCGCAUGCAGGUGGUUUGUUAAGUCAGAUGUGAAAGCCCGGGGCUCAACCUCGGAAUUGCAUUUGAAACUGGCAGACUAGAGUACUGUAGAGGGGGGUAGAAUUUCAGGUGUAGCGGUGAAAUGCGUAGAGAUCUGAAGGAAUACCAGUGGCGAAGGCGGCCCCCUGGACAGAUACUGACACUCAGAUGCGAAAGCGUGGGGAGCAAACAGGAUUAGAUACCCUGGUAGUCCACGCCGUAAACGAUGUCUACUGGGAGGUUGUGGCCUUGAGCCGUGGCUUUCGGAGCUAACGC
rnacentral:rRNA from 1 species